CUGCCGAGUCGGGCCGGGCCGCCUGGGGAGCGGAGCCGCCGCCGGAGCUGCGUCCGCUAUGGGGACGGCGUACGCGCGGAUGCGCUGCAUCAAAAUCUUGCUGUUCAUCUUCAAUCUGAGCUUCUGGCUGGCAGGAUUGGCUGUCAUUGCCUUUGGUCUGUGGCUGCGGUUUGGUGGGGCUAUGGCAGAGUUUGCUUCAGACAAAAGGUCUCCAGAGUAUUUCUUCAUAGGUCUGUAUGUGUUGGUGGGAGCAGGGGCUCUCAUGACCACAGUUGGAUUCUUUGGGUGCUGUGGAGCAGCGCGGGAGUCUCAGUUCUUACUUGGAGCAUUCUUUGCUUGCUUGUUGGUGAUAUUUGCAGCUGAGAUCACCGCUGGAGUGUUCGCAUUUAUAGGCAAGAAAGUGGCAAUACAGGAAGCCCAGAAAAUCUAUGAAGACAUCUAUGAGGAGUACAUGAAAAACCCGGGGAAGGUGAACAGAACCAUCUAUCACUACCACUUGGCUCUCCAAUGCUGCGGUAAAGAUAAUUUGGAACAACACGCAGGAUUACCUUGUCCAGAGAAAAUGCAGGUGCCAAAGAACUGCCUGGUUGAAAUCCACAACGUAAUCGAUGCCAAUCUGCAUCUAGUUGGGAUUGUUGGAAUUGCAAUUGCUGGCACCACAAUCUUUGGCAUGAUAUUCAGCAUGGUUCUCUGCUGUGCUAUCCGUAACAUGAGAGAUAUGAUCUAAAACUGUCACUGCACAACUGUGUCCAGAAGCUUUACAAGAAGUGCUCUUCUACCCAGCUUAAUAACUGUAAUGUAUUUUAAUUAGUGUUUUAACAUACUGAGAGGAAAAUAUCCCACGAGAUGUGGAGGUGAAUUGUAUUAGUGGCAGUAAAACUGAAAUGAACAAAAAAAAGGGUUUUAAAAUGUCCUUUUUAAUGGAAAGAGCCGAGAUGGCAUCAAAGACUAAUUUGAUUUUUAAUGUUUGUAUAUGUGCAAUUUAGAGCUUACAUAUCUAUAGGCACUGUGUAAGUACAUGCAUUUCUCUCAUUACAGAUAUGUAUGCACAUUAUCUGUGCAUGUAGUACCUUAUGUAGGUAAGUAUGUGCAAAUGGGAUGUGUUGUGUGUCCACAUUUGCAUGCACAUUUUUCCAGUCUCACCACGCAGGAGUUGUGCACACACCCAGAGGUUGCUUGAAAUACUUUCAUUCCGAGCCCCCGUUUGCCAAGAGCUGGUAGAGGAACAAAUGCCAUUUUAAAAACGACCCAGCAUCCAUUUUGUAACUGUUCCGUCCAGCCCCCAAAGAGGAAGUCUGUUUUGUUUUAAACGGCUUUUGUUGUUACAAAAGGGUCUCCUCCAGCACACUCCUUCCUGGAGAUCUUCCAAAGCCCCUGGAUGAGGUCCUGGGCGCUCUGCCCUCACGGCUCUGCUGCAGCACAGCGCCUGGAUCGGAGGGACGCAGAGAUCCCUUCCAAUUUCAACCAUUCGGUGAUUCUGUGACUUCACUGGUGUGCACAGACCUGAGUUUUGUUUUUGUUUAAGUCCAGUCGUGUUUUCAUGCAAGUACAGAAAGCUCUGUGGGAGGAAACAGUCCAAGGAGAUCUGGCCUAAACAAAGAGGGGAGGAGGUAGGAAGCUGGCAAGAUGCAGUCAUUUGGGAGCGAUUGUAACACACAGUGUGGUUAAGCUUCUCAUAUAGCCUGAGACCAAAACCAAACCACCAAAACCUCUAUGUGUUAAAGGGGCCACUAAAAUCUUAGUUCAGAAGUCCCUUUAUGCUGUAAGACUGAGAUCUAUAAUGCUGGCGCAGGAGUAGAACCUAUAGUAAGAAAAGCAGCAGCUUUGUCAGAUACCCUGUAGAGCCUGGUGUGUAGAAUCCAAUGGAGGAGAAAAAAUGGUCAGGGAAAAACACACAGCACUUUAAUAUCCUCUGGUUUUGCUUCUGUGACUAUCACAGCUUCCUGAGGGCUCCUACCUCAGCCUCCCACCCCUUCCUGCAGGCGUAAGGCAGAAAAGAAAGAUGGGGCUUCUUUUCUAAAAAAGAAAAAGAAAGAAAAAAACAGAAGAGCAGAGCCACAAAGUAAAUUUUCUUACUGGGAUUUGUAGAUUGCAUAUAAAAAAAAUACUGUUCUUGAAAUACCUCAGGGCUUGCCUUUGCGUUAUUUGUUUCUAUAUUGUUAUUUUUAUAUUCUUCAUACUUAUUUAUGAGAGUGUUCCUUCUAAAGCAGCCUGGAAGGGAGAGAGUUUGUUCCCAGAAAGAGCAAAUAAAUUACAGCAAGGGCUCAGAAUCUCUGAAAUUUUUGCUUAGUCCAGUUAAUUUAGCAUUUCAAAGAAUAACUUUCUGCUAGCAAUGCCCCUUUAUUACCACCUCAGAGUUCUUAUGCAGUUGUUCUUUUUUAAGAGAAUAGGUCUAACAGAGCUCAGUUAAAUGUCUCAGUGAAUGGUCCGUGAUGCCUAAUGUGACUUGGCAUUUACAAGUCAAUUAUCUCACUAAAACAUGAUGGCACUUCAGGUAGUGCCUGCAGUCCAGUGCACGUGUUUGUGUCACAUACAUCCCUCCUGAUGUUUUUCUCUCAUUUCCAACAGAAACUCCAAUUUCUAUCAAUUUGCUGUUAUUUCAGUAUUGGAAAUGGUGCUGCUGUUCCAUGUUUCCCACUUAAUUGACUCAUCUUGCUGUCUUUUACAUGGAUGUCACUUUCCAAAUUGUUCACCCACAGGCUGUCACUAUGCAGUGACGUUGAUGCAGCUGUGCGGUUGUAGGGGAACCCUUGGGUUGGGGCUUGAGCUGGUGAUUGAGCACCUGGUGAAGGGGUGCUGUUGGCCUGAGGAGCUCAUUGUUUGCACCUGUGCUCUCCCAUGUGCCCAGAAGGGCUGCACCCAAUGCAGAGCCACCCUGGGCUCAUUUCAGGGACAGCCACUGAAGGGAGAGCAUCCUUGGACCUAGACUGCUUCCUGAGGAGUGCUGCAUGGCCAGAGAGCCCCUUCACCAGCUGGCACUGCAUCAUAAUCUCCAUAGAGCUCAGGAGCCUUGGCUUUUCUCACCCCUGCUUUCCCGGCCUGCUCAGGAAUCCCAGAAACAAAGCUUUGCUUGGCUCCAGGACAGUUUCAGGAUCUUCUCUCUCUCUCUUUGGAACUACAAAUUCUACAAUGACAGAGUCUACAGAUAUCUGGAAUCACCCUCUAGUCUCUUCCAGCCGUCGUUUUCCUAUAACAAAAGCCAUUUGUUACACGAUCCAGUUUACCCUGUGGCUGCAGUCGUAUAAGUCUGGAAAGACCAACCUCUUGUCAGCUGAAUUCUUCCCUAUUUCAGGAGUCUGAUUCUGCCUUGAGCUGGGAGAGGCAGUGAUCUAGCACCAACUCUUGUGUGCUUUAUACACUCCAGGCUAAUUCCAGGCUUAUCUUCCUGUUUAUAUAAUUGCAUCUGAAUUGCUGCUUUCUUAUCGCAGAGCCAUCUAUUGAAAAUUCAUACUAAACCACAAAGCAAAUGUGAUAGGAACAAACGUCUCCAUAAUAUCCUAACCUGGAAAUUGGAGCUGGAAAUCUAAUUAUGUUAACAGUCAGUCUUUCUCCUGGGCUUUUAAACUAACCACUGCUUUUAAAAGGUUGCUAUUGAUUAAUUUGCUGCAUAGGACAGCAACGUGUUGGCAGUCAGGCUAGCGUGGAAAUGGAGCCAUGCAGAAUCACACCUGACUAAUUCUGCUCUCACUUUUUUUGGAAAAUCUGGUUCAUUCAGUAUGCUCACUACCUGGCAGGCACAAAUGAGGGAUGCAAUGCUGUAUGCAUAAAAUAAAUCUCAAAUCCAAGCAAUUGAUUGCUUUAUAGCGCGGGUAGGAAAAGUUUCACUUAUUUACUAUUAAAAAAAAAAAAAAAAAAAGGCAACAAAAAACCAACAAUAAAAAGCCAUGCAGGCAAAUUAUUGAGCAAGCACUGAAGUGAAAACAAUUCACUGAAAUACUGAGAAUCAAUUGGUUUCGUUUUGAGAUGCCACUUUUUGUCGCACGGUGCGAAGCAAAAUGUUGUACCAAUGUCAUUGAAACUAAAAUAUCCACUGAUGGGGUGGGGAGGGAACGUUCCUGGUUGGGGCUUUGAGAAAUACCAAAGAGGAGCAAAGUGAGGAGGGCGUUGAGUUAGUAUGCAAGUCUUGCACUGAUUUAGCACAGAGCCACUGUAACCUGCUGGUUCGUCUGUGUCUGGCCAACCUUCUCACUGUGCCCUCACUGCAGCUCUGUUGCCCACCAGCCCCAUGGGUCACCUCCCUGCCAGCUGGACUUGGCUUUCAUGCGUGCCUUAGGCAGGUCAACCACUUUGUUGUCUUACGUGGCCAUAAGGAACAUGAGAAAGUUGAACAGCGUGUUGUGCUGUUGGAGGACUGAGCCAGUCAGUCCUAACAAGCAUCUGCCCAAUUCCUGAAUGGCGUUGUCUCCUUUACCAGUGGUUUCAGACUGCUGCACAUGACUUUGUGUCCUAAGGUAAUUGUCUGUGGGAUUUUGUGUGUAAUGUAAUGAAGUUCUUGUUCAUU